AUCACUAAUCUCUAAAACCAUAAAAGUUAGUGAAGUUACCAUAAAUUGACACAAUGGAAAUUUUCUGUUUUCAAAAAUUAAUGAACCAAGAAAAUUUGCUUACUUAAAGCUGUAAGACAAACCAUGAUUCUUAACAAACAUUUUUACACAAGGUGCAGGAGGAAGGAAUUAAAGUGUUUUAUAUGUGUAAAAGAAAAUCGCAGAAUUUUACCAAAGUUAAAGGCAACAAAGUCAACGUGUUUCAAAAAAGCAAUAACUGAAUAUACAAAAUGGUGCGAAAUAUCAGAAAACUACGGUGUAUGAAGUGGCAAUGGUGUAAAGUAACAAUGAUGAUUUUAACAAGAUAAUGAUGACAACAAAAAGUUGCUAUGAAAAAAAGUUGACUGACGCAGAGAGGUUGUUCCAAAGUGGUAUGAAAUGUUUUUAAGUUUGUGUAUUCAUUUUUAUACUGUGAAGCAAUAAGCAAAUAGCAGCGUGCAGUAGGUGUGCCAUUUAUAGUAAACUUAGUUCUGUGUAUUUUUUUCUGCUAAGAUAUGUAGCUAGGAUCAUCACUUUUUUUGCGCGAUGUAAUGAAAAAAGUGAAAAACAGUCAUAAUUUAUAUAUCAUCUUCAAAUCGCUGUUAAGAACGGCGACAAAGCAGAUCAUUCUAUCAGUUUUUAGCUAGAAUUAUAAUGGAAGAAAAUUUGUAAUCACAAACCUAUCGCAUGCUUGGGUUUUAUUAAAACAUUAGGACGGCAGUAUUAACUCUGGCAGCAAUACGAGACUUCAUUUCUGCAGUAAUUCUCCGACGCUUUUAGGUACGCGCUGUGGAGUUUCACUGUGGUACCAAUUCCGCGCUAAAAGAGUGAAAAGUAUGAACAAAACUGAAAUUAUUUUAUGCGAAGUAUUAGUUGUUGCGAAAAUGUUGCGUAAUUUGUCUUUUGUGGCUAGACAUCAUAGGACAAUUUCUACCGUUCAACGGUUGCGACAU